AGGAUCUAUGACUUCUGGAAGCACCUCUUUUAGGAGCUUAGAUGGAAUAGGGUCUAACAUACAUGUUGUUGGUUUAGAAUACAUGUUGUUGGUUUAAACCGAGUGUAAUAUCGAUGGUAUGGCCCAUUUCAGGAGCUGACAAAAUUAUGAUUUAAAAUUAGAGCAUAGCUCACACUCACUAAAAUACUGAAAUGCUAAUGUAGUGGGAUUGCCCCUUUAAUAAUAGUCUGCAUGGCCCCUUUAAAAAUGGCGCACUGAUUGCAUAAGGUGGGUGGGUACGUCAGGUAAUCACGAAGCUAUAUAGACACAGGUGAGAUGUAGUUUCCUCAUGACUUUGUAUCGAUGUGACAUGUUUGCGUAGGUCUUGUAUCUCCUUCACUCCUCGGUAAAGAUUAGUCGGUUACGUUCGGGCAUUGCUAGUGAGCAUGUGAGUGUUAUGCACGUCAAAGAAGUUGCUAGCUGCUGCUUUGCUGUGGCUUAAAUGCCGUUUCCAGUUUUGGGACGCAGGAUUUUUGUCCGCACGCGAUUGCACUGAACGUCUUCGCUGUCGCCUGUAUAACAUUCGCGUUGGAUGCGCUGUAAGACCGUGUCCUUUGAUUCUGGUGCCACCUGGUGUUCGCUGGUAACUCCAUCGUGUUUGUUUGUUUUGUGUAUUUUAAAGGGAUAGUUCACCCAAAAAUGAAAAUUAUGUCAUU